ACAAUGGGCUUAUAAAUGUAGAACCAUGGUGGCAGGGAAAGAGGCUAUUCAUGGGCCCACAGUCUACUCACCAAGGCUGCACUAAAUGUCCAACCUGUCAGCAGCAUUGACUAAUGCUAAUCCCUUUGUACAGGAUCAUCUCUCAAGGACACCAACAAUCUACUUGGUGGGAUAAGUUUCCUCCAUUGGACCCCUUCUGUAUUGGAAGAAACAAAGAAUGCAUUUUGACUUGACAACACAUAUUCCGGGGCUCAAGGAAAGUUUCCUGCAAUACUAGCUGAAAUGGGUCACCAGUUUCUCCUCGUGGGAGGCAACCCAAGACUCUGAUUGCGCUGAGUAAAGCUGGUCAGCUAUUUUACAAGGAAAACACCUGGCACCGAAUCCUGGGCUCUUUAGAGAACUGCUAGCUAAGCCUCUUCCCUGGGGUAAAUUCAGCGAGAAGCGCUGUUCCCAUAAUCAUGUGGCUACUCAAAUGAGCACAGAGGAAACCACUAACAAUUUGGAGACGAGACAGAGUCCAGAAAAGGAAGAAAAGUCCUGAAAAUAUAAAUUUAGCUUGAGGUGUUCCAUGAACACGAGACAGAGAGCUAGAAUUAGGGUUUGUUCUAAAUUUCAAAAUCGACAAAACAGUGGCUUCUCUGAAAGCAGAGUCAUUUGGAUAAGGAACUCAGUCAAGCUGGCGUCUUCAUGAGUGCAAGGGAACUGAUCAAAGAAUGCAAAACUUCUGAGACUCUUUGGUCCAUCUGGUGACAACUGGUCAGAACAGUUUGCCAUGACAGCCACCUGAGAAAAGCAUUCUGCAAGUGGCUAGGGAAACUAAAGCUUUCUCUUCCCCAAAAUGAUAGUUUCGAGCACUAGCGUUUAACUUAGAACCAGCCCAGCAGUCAGCAGGAAAGAAUAUAAGUAUGGAGAGGGAAGCAGGAGACAGACGAUGUGAAACUUUGAAGUCUGGGAUUUCUUCUAAGCCAAGUUAAAUGAUAUUGCAGAGUUUUAAGCAGGAAAAUUGACAUCAUAUCAAUUACGCUAAUAAAAGGUCGCUCUCUCUGGUUUCGAUGUGGAGAAUGGACAGUUUGCAGGAACUUGAGAGCAGAAGCAAGAAGAGUUGCUGGAACAAAAGCUAGAUGCUAGUGGUUUGGACCAAGGGGUGACAACAGAGAUCUAGGGAAGUGAAGAGAUUCCAAAGGUAUUUAGGAUCAGAGUCUAUAGGGCAGGCUGAUAGAACAGAACGUGUGGAAGGGGAGCAGAAAGGGAGGAGUCAAGAAUUACUUGUAGAUCGAAAGGAAGACUGCAGCACCCGGACUUUUUGUUGCAAUGGGCAAAGCCAGUGUCCACCUUGUAGAAAAUCUAGUCUGCAUUUGCCCCUUCACUCCUACAAGCUCGGGCUAUCCAGUCCAACUAAGUCAAUGCUAUAUAUUUGUUCUAAAUCUUUGCCAAUAUGAGAAAUGAAAAUGGCAUCUUGUUAUAUUUUUUAAAUUAAUAGUGAGGUAAACCACUUGUUCAUGUGUUUGUUGGCCAUUUGUGUUUCUUAUGUGUGUUAAUUGUCUGUUCUUUCUAUCCAUCU
rnacentral:lncRNA from 1 species